GAUGAAGAACGUAGCGAAAUGCGAUAAGUAAUGUGAAUUGCAGAAUUCAGUGAAUCAUCGAAUCUUUGAACGCACAUUGCGCCCGCCAGUAUUCUGGCGGGCAUGCCUGUUCGAGCGUCAUUUCAACCAUCAAGCCCCAGGCUUGUGUUGGGGACCUUCGGCUGCCGCAGGCCCUGAAAACCAGUGGCGGGCUCGCUGUCACACCGGGCGUAGUAGAUUUUAUCUCGCUCAGGGCGUGCUGCGGGUUCCGGCCGUUAAAAAGCCUUUUUUACCCAAGGUUGACCUCGGAUCAGGUAGGAAGACCCGCUGAACUUAAGCAUAUCAAUAAGCGGAGGA
rnacentral:misc_RNA from 1 species